rnacentral:ncRNA from 1 species
GUUCAGGUGCCCCCGACGGGGGGUGAAACGGGAAACCGGUGCGUCGCGCCUCCAUUGCUAAGGAGCCGACAAGGCCGGUGCUGCCCCCGCAACGGUAAGCGAGAGAAGCGUCCGAACCACUGUGCCAACAGUAAGGCAUGGGAAGGUGACGCCCCACGGAGUCCUGCUCCACCUCGCCAGCCCGGAGACCGGCCUGACA